rnacentral:rRNA from 1 species
AUUCCAGCUCCAAUAGCGUAUAUUUAGUUGUUGCAGUUAAAAAGCUCGUAGUUGGAUUUCGGGUGGGUACCGCCGGUCUCCCUUCGGGUAUGUACUGGCGUGGCCCGCCUUGCUGUCGGGGACGGUCUCCUGGGCUUUAUUGUCCGGGAAUCGGAGUCGACGAUGUUACUUUGAGUAAAUUAGAGUGUUCAAAGCAAGCCUACGCUCUGAAUAUAAUAGCAUGGGAUAACACGACAGGACUCUGGCCUAUCGUGUUGGUCUGUAGGACCGGAGUAAUGAUUAAGAGGGACAGUCGGGGGCAUUCGUAUUCCAUUGUCAGAGGUGAAAUUCUUGGAUUUAUGGAAGACGAACAUCUGCGAAAGCAUUUGUCAAGGAUGUUUUCAUCG